CCUCCAUCCUUUCCUCUCCUGUGGCCUGAACUGAGACCCAAAUUCUGCAUGAUUUUAGGGAGGUUUGAGGAUGUUUGCCACAGGAUGGCGGACUGGUGACUGAUGUCCUUGCAGCCAGAGGCCAGCUGUCCAGUGGACACCUCGGUUCACUGAGUCCCUGCCAAGAAAACUCACCUGGAGGACAGAAUUCUAACAGCAAGUGUGGGACAAGCACCCCAGCUCGAGUCCUCUCCUCCCAGGGGUAGACAAGAGCCCAUCCUGGUUCUCUGUGGGCUCUAGAACCAGCCACGUGGAUACCAGAUGACUCCAGUCACCAAGCGAGUCUGUGACGGGCCAGGCAGGCAGGCCGGGGAUGUGGACUCCCAGGCCCCUGUGGCCUCCUCAGCCUCCCCCAAGGGGUUUCAAUACACCUGCAGCAAGACCCUGGAGGGCCUGGGAUCCCAGCUCCACCUGAGUAGGGGAGGCUCCUGCCUGUCAGGGAAGAGCGGGGCUCCGAGAGGAGCAAGCUUCUGGGGUGGCUGUGAAACGUCUGGUGACAAUAUUUGUGUCUAAAAAUAUAGCAGCCGAGA